UACAGAGGUGGCAAGCGUUGUUCGGAAUUACUGGGCGUAAAGCGCGUGUAGGCGGCUCUUCAAGUCAGGCGUGAAAGCCCCGGGCUCAACUCGGGAACUGCGCUUGAUACUGUCGAGCUAGAGUGUGGAAGGGGCGAUUGGAAUUCCGAGUGUAGAGGUGAAAUUCGUAGAUAUUCGGAAGAACACCAGUGGCGAAGGCGGCUCACUGGCCCGGUACUGACGCUGAGGUGCGAAAGCGUGGGGAGCAAACAGG
rnacentral:rRNA from 1 species